AUACUUACCUGGCUGGGGAGAUACCAUGAUCACAAAGGUGGUUUUCAGGGCAAAGCUUAUGCAUUGUAUUCUGGAUAUGCUGAUCCCUGUGAUUUCCCCAAAUGUGGGAAACUUGACUGCACAAUUUGUGGUAGUGGGGGACUACAUUUGGGCAUUCCUCUG
ensembl:snRNA U1 U1 spliceosomal RNA